GAUGAAGAACGUAGCGAAAUGCGAUAAGUAAUGUGAAUUGCAGAAUUCAGUGAAUCAUCGAAUCUUUGAACGCACAUUGCGCCCGCCAGCAUUCUGGCGGGCAUGCCUGUUCGAGCGUCAUUUCAACCCUCGAGCCCCCCCGGGGGCCUCGGUGUUGGGGGACGGCACACCAGCCGCCCCCGAAAUGCAGUGGCGACCCCGCCGCAGCCUCCCCUGCGUAGUAGCACACACCUCGCACCGGAGCGCGGAGGCGGUCACGCCGUAAAACGCCCAACUUUCUUAGAGUUGAUCUCGGAUCAGGUAGGAAUACCCGCUGAACUUAAGCAUAUCAAUAAGCGGAGGA
rnacentral:misc_RNA from 1 species